AUUAUUUUGGUUUAAUUUCCCUUUUAGGAUUUCUCAUUCAUUGUGUUGGGUUUGGUUUUACCAACUGUUCAGUAUUUUACAGUAUUUCUGAUUUUUACAAUAGGAUUUUAAGAUAUUUAUACUUGGACAAUACUUAGGAUUUGACAGUAAUGAAAUUCCCCAGUACGUCUUGUGCCCAAAUAAUGCCAUUAUCAUUGCUGAUGUGAGGAAGACAGGAGUGAGGUAAGCAAGGUUGGUACUCAGCAGGUAGGAAGAUUAGAUUCUGCCCUAGUAAGCAUAAUUUAAAUACGAAGCCUGAUUUUUCUCUGCUGCCAAGUGCUGCUGCUCAUGGAAGUACUUGCUUUAUUUUUAGGCACUUCUAUGCCAAAGUGCCUCAAUCUUGGAACUUGAGGCACGAUGACAGCGAAUAUUGUGCUAUAGGACUGAAGCUUCAGGGAGGAGAGAAAAACACUGCAGCUCUUUACUAAAUAUAUGUUGCGCAGGGGGAAGUGCAUUGAAGGGAUAAUCUGCGUCUGUCACUGACCACAUGUCCUCAGCCUUCCAGAGAGGAGUGGAGUCAUGACAGUUGAGGCUGAGAGCAUUGGGGCUGUUCAGCCUGGAGAAGAGAAGCUGUGUGGAGACCUUAGAGCAGCUUCCAGUAUCUGAAGGGGG